rnacentral:rRNA from 1 species
AACGAACGCUGGCGGCAGGCUUAACACAUGCAAGUCGAACGCAUCGCAAGAUGAGUGGCAGACGGGUGAGUAACGCGUGGGAACAUACCCUUUUCUACGGAAUAGCUCUGGGAAACUGGAAUUAAUACCGUAUACGCCCUACGGGGGAAAGAUUUAUCGGGGAAGGAUUGGCCCGCGUUGGAUUAGCUAGUUGGUGGGGUAAAGGCCUACCAAGGCGACGAUCCAUAGCUGGUCUGAGAGGAUGAUCAGCCACAUUGGGACUGAGACACGGCCCAAACUCCUACGGGAGGCAGCAGUGGGGAAUAUUGGACAAUGGGCGCAAGCCUGAUCCAGCCAUGCCGCGUGAGUGAUGAAGGCCUUAGGGUUGUAAAGCUCUUUCACCGAUGAAGAUAAUGACGGUAGUCGGAGAAGAAGCCCCGGCUAACUUCGUGCCAGCAGCCGCCGCGG